rnacentral:lncRNA from 1 species
CGGCGGUGGCGGCGCUUGCGGCGGCGGUGGCGGCGCUUGCGGCGGCGAAGGCAGCGCAGCCCGAGGCGGCGGGUGGGAAAAGGAUUGCCAGAGGGGCCUGCGGGAGACCCAGGGUCGGACCCGUAGGGGUCCUGCCGUCAGGACCUCCUUGAUCGGCCUUCUGCUUGUUCCCGGUGGAGGAGGAGCUUCAGGGUGCCGGCUGGGCUGUGCAGACUCCUCUUCGGAUCCGAGGAUGGAUCCCACCGGGUGAUCGAGAAUGGGGUUGCAAUGCAGUGAGGCGGGAAGGGUCUCGCUGGGGCACAGAAAGAUCCCUAGGGCCCCAAGGCGUGCUGUCGGCGGAAAAUGAACUGACACACAAGCCCACUGCCUCCCUCCUUCCUGGGUGGAGCAGUGGCCUGCCUUCAUCUCCAAGGCCUGGGGGCUCCGGCAUACCGACACUGCUUCCCGCGACACGUGCAAAGACAGACAUAGGCGAGUCCGAGAUGGAGCCAGUGUGACCACACGUGGCACCGACGUCCCCAAAAGCAGAUGGAGUGAGCAGGUGUCUUUGAGGCCGUAGGGGGCGAUGGCGAGACGGACAGUGAUGUCCAGCCGUGCGCCCGGGGGCCACGGGAGACCUCCGCAACAAAGCUGAGGAAAAGCCAAGCGCACCUGAAAACCUGCGAGACAGGGCCUGCGCCCGAAUCCAAGCCACAUUCAGAGAUGCCUGCCAGAGGGGCCGAGAGCUUUCCACAAACUACACCCCACCCCCACCCCGCCAUCGGGUAGGUACCCCCGACGCGACCUCCCCUGCACCCAGCAAAACCCAGUCCCUUUGGCUUCCUGACAUCCGUGGCAGCCAGAAGAUUCAGCGCUAGAAGCCUCUUUCCCCAGGAGCAGAGGAACCCGAUGGCCCUCAAGAAUCAGAGAGGAAGUGCAGGUGGCAUGCCACACCGCCUUUCCUAGAAGGCAAAUGUCAGGAACGUUCGGGUUGCCUCCCGCUCUUCCUGGACGGACCACGGGGCCACAGAGACCCAGAAAGCUUCCCUGUCCCAGACAGCUAUGGAAGCCCAGAGCUCCAGGAUCACCACACCUGCCCAAUCAUGCUGAAAGAGGUUUGGAGAAGGAAACAAUCAUGACACUGACCCCCAGGAACUUUCUCCCGGAUGGACUGGGAAGUCUUCUGGGUUGAAGACAUUGAGCCAGACUAACAAGCCCCUAGGCCUCUCAGAAACAGGGCAGGCAGAGCAAGAGGGAGGACAGAGCAGAGGUCAGAACCCAGGCAGGAUUGGCGGCAAUGCCACCACCACGGCCAUCCGGGGAGGAGUGCCAAACGGGUGACUUGGCCACGAAGGCCAGCGUUGGAGCCACAGAGAUGUUUGCCCCAUCCCAUUGCCGGCUUCCUUUUCCGUCCCUGUGUCGAGCUGUGGCUAGAUUUCUCAGUGAGGGCACACGCGAGAGGAUUGAGAGGAGUGAGGUCGAUGGGCACCUCGACCUGCAUAAGCAGGUUGAUGAUGAGCUUUUGUGAGAAUUUUUUCCUUUGCUGGGGUGUGGUUGUCUUGAUUCUAGCAAUGAGGCCGCUCAUGAUUGGGAGCUGAUUUAAUCCCCUCCGUGUCUCAUGUAGCUCCCCACGUUGCCCACCGGUCACGAACCCAAACUGUAACCGCCUGGAAAACGAAUGACACCCGGCCACAUGACCCAGACAGAGAUGCGAGGAGAGACUCACCAGAAGAAAGGCCAAGGUACAAGAAACCGCCCUUCAUUGCCCAUGCAUCCCAACACACGCACGCACCCGCGCACACACGGAUGGAAACUGGUAGAGAGUGAUAGACGGAGAAUGAAAACAGAAAUAAGAGAAAGAGACACAACCCAGACAUACUGCAGUGGCACAGUAACAUUCAUCCCCAGGCAGCCCCUGAAGCCUCUGGGUUCUGCUCUGCGCGACAACGACCCUGGGGUGAGAGAGCAGCCCUUGGGCAUACAAGCAGACCUGUCCUGGAGAUCGCAAGGGCACGACUUUUGGGGAGACUCACCGGCACACCGUCCGCGCAGGCCUGAGCCUGGGAUACUGCGCUGCUUCCCAGACGCUCCGCCUGAGGUUUCUUCCUCCUGGUCGAACCUCCGCGAAUCCUGGCCUCGGGAUACCAUCCCGUCGACGCCCCAGUGAGGACUAGACUUAGCCCCGAGGCCGAUGCGCUGCCACAGAAGGCUCCUCCUUCGCGGAGAGUGAAGAACUCAUCUCCAGACAACGGUGGCGGUCUCUGUGACACUGAGCAUCGCCCUGUUACCCAGGCUAAAGUGCAGUGGGAAGAUCUCAGCUCACUGCAACCUCUGCCUCCAAGGUUCAAGAGAUUCUCCUGCCUCAGCCUCCCAAGUAGCUGGGAUAAACUAAACUAAACUACUAAACUAAACUAAACUAAACUAAACUGCUAAACUAAGGGGUUUGGAGGGCUCCUGGAUUAUUGAACACGUAAAGGUUCCUGGAGGGUGGUGCAGCCAGAGACGGCAUGGAAGCUCUGCACCCCUCCCCCAUAUCUUGCCCUAUGCAUCUCUUCCUUCUGGCUGUUAAUCUGUAUCCUUGUCAAUAUCCUUUAUAAUAAAUGGG